rnacentral:rRNA from 1 species
CACGUAGGGCGCAAGCGUUGUCCGGAAUUAUUGGGCGUAAAGAGCUCGUAGGCGGUCUGUUGCGUCUGCUGUGAAAACCCGGGGCUUAACCCCUGGCUUGCAGUGGAUACGGACAGACUAGAGGUAGGUAGGGGAGAAUGGAAUUCCCGGUGUAGCGGUGAAAUGCGCAGAUAUCGGGAGGAACACCGGUGGCGAAGGCGGGUCUCUGGGCAGUAACUGACGCUGAGGAGCGAAAGCGUGGGGAGCGAACAGG